rnacentral:rRNA from 1 species
UACGUAGGGUGCGAGCGUUGUCCGGAAUUAUUGGGCGUAAAGAGCUUGUAGGUGGCUCGUUGCGUCGGGAAUGAAAACCUGCGGCUUAACCGCAGGCCUGCUUCCGAUACGGGCGAGCUAGAGUUCGGCAGGGGAGACUGGAAUUCCUGGUGUAGCGGUGGAAUGCGCAGAUAUCAGGAGGAACACCGGUGGCGAAGGCGGGUCUCUGGGCCGAUACUGACACUGAGAAGCGAAAGCGUGGGGAGCGAACAGG